AUGGCGCCGCGCACACCUCAAUGGCUAUUCCGCGGCAACGCGGUGUUCCCGGCGGAAGGCGGCACCCAUGCGCGACCGCGGGCUCCCGGCAGCGUGUCCACAGGAGCGACCAACGGCCAACGCUUGGACCGGCGGCUCUGUCCUGCGCGACAGUCAGGGCAGAAUGAGAAAGAACAGAGGUUGUGGAUCUCCAUCGAUUCAAGAAUUGAAGGCCUCAACAACGAACGCCAAUGGAUUCCCAUCGAUUCAUUGAUGAAAAAGGAAAAAGGUACCAUGCGUUCUUCAAUUCUUCCUGCACUGCACUGGAUCAAGCGACAACUGCCGUUGCUUUUCAUCAGCAUCGCCAGCGGCGCCCGCGUCCAUGCACCUUGCACACACACGGCUGUCCAGCGAUGCGUCGAGGUGUCUGCCGGCCUCUAA
rnacentral:rRNA from 1 species